CAAGCGACUGUUUACCAAAAACAUAGGUUUCUGCUAAGUCGCAAGACGAUGUAUAGGAGCUGACGCCUGCCCGGUGCUGGAAGGUUAAGGGGAUCUGUUAGAGCAAUCGAAGCAGUGAACUUAAGCCCCAGUAAACGGCGGCCGUAACUAUAACGGUCCUAAGGUAGCGAAAUUCCUUGUCGGGUAAGUUCCGACCCGCACGAAAGGCGUAACGAUUUGGGCACUGUCUCAACAACAGACUCGGUGAAAUUGUAAUUCCGGUGAAGAUGCCGGAUACCUGCGACAGGACGGAAAGACCCCAUGGAGCUUUACUGUAGCUUGACAUUGGGUCUUGGUACUACAUGUACAGGAUAGGUGGGAGGCUUUGAAACCAGGACGCCAGUUUUGGCGGAGCCAUCCUUGGGAUACCACCCUUGUAGUACUGGGACUCUAACCAUAGGCCAUGAAUCUGGUCUUGGGACACUGUCAGGUGGGCAGUUUGACUGGGGCGGUCGCCUCCCAAAAGGUAACGGAGGCGCUCAAAGGUUCUCUCAGUACGGUCGGAAAUCGUACGUAGAGUGUAAAGGCAAAAGAGAGCUUGAUUGCAAGACAUACAGGUCGAGCAAGGAUGAAAAUCGGACUUAGUGAUCCGGUGGUUCUGCGUGGAAGGGCCAUCGCUCAACGGAUAAAAGCUACCCUGGGGAUAACAGGCUUAUCUCCCCCAAGAGUCCACAUCGACGGGGAGGUUUGGCACCUCGAUGUCGGCUCAUCACAUCCUGGGGCUGUAGUAGGUCCCAAGGGUUGGGCUGUUCG
rnacentral:rRNA from 1 species